UACGGGGGGGGCAAGCGUUGUUCGGAAUUACUGGGCGUAAAGGGCUCGUAGGUGGCCAACUAAGUCGGACGUGAAAUCCCUCAGCUUAACUGGGGAACUGCGUCCGAUACUGGAUGGCUCGAGUUUGGGAGAGGGAUGCGGAAUUCCAGGUGUAGCGGUGAAAUGCGUAGAGAUGUGGAGGAACACCGAUGGCGAAGGCAGCCCCCUGGGCUAACACUGACGCUCAUGCACGAAAGCGUGGGGAGCAAACAGG
rnacentral:rRNA from 1 species